rnacentral:rRNA from 1 species
CCUACGGGAGGCAGCAGUGAGGAAUAUUGGUCAAUGGACGAGAGUCUGAACCAGCCAAGUAGCGUGAAGGAUGACUGCCCUAUGGGUUGUAAACUUCUUUUAUAUGGGAAUAAACUGUUCCACGUGUGGGAUUUUGUAUGUACCAUAUGAAUAAGGAUCGGCUAACUCCGUGCCAGCAGCCGCGGUAAUACGGAGGAUCCGAGCGUUAUCCGGAUUUAUUGGGUUUAAAGGGAGCGUAGAUGGGUUGUUAAGUCAGUUGUGAAAGUUUGCGGCUCAACCGUAAAAUUGCAAUUGAUACUGGCAGGCUUGAGUACAGUUGAGGGAGGUGGAAUUCGUGGUGUAGCGGUGAAAUGCUUAGAUAUCACGAAGAACUCCGAUUGCGAAGGCAGCUUACUAAACUGCCACUGACAUUGAUGCUCGAAAGUGUGGGUAUCAAACAGGAUUAGAUACCCCUGUAGUC